UGUAGAACGUAGUCUAUGACCAGGACUAU
rnacentral:piRNA from 1 species